AACGCUUCUCAGCCUUUUGACUAAGAUCAAGUGUAGUAUCUGUUCUUAUCAGUUUAAAAAUUCUACCCCUAGGAUUACCUGGCUGACUCAGUCAAAGAGCAUGCAAGUCUUGAUCUUGGGGUUGUGAAUUUGAGCCCCAUGUUGCGCAUAGAGCAUACUUUUA
rnacentral:snRNA from 1 species